rnacentral:rRNA from 1 species
GACGAACCGUGCGAACGUUGUUCGGAAUCACUGGGCUUAAAGGGCGCGUAGGCGGGUUCGCAAGUCUGUGGUGAAAGCCUCCAGCUUAACUGGAGAAGUGCCGUGGAUACUGCGAAUCUUGAGGAGGGUAGGGGCGUCUGGAACGGUCGGUGGAGCGGUGAAAUGCGUUGAUAGUCGACCGGAACUCCGGUGGCGAAGGCGAGGCGCUGGACCCUUUCUGACGCUGAGGCGCGAAAGCCAGGGGAGCAAAGCGGGG